rnacentral:lncRNA from 1 species
AGCCGGACGCGGGUAGCUUGGCCGUUCCUUGCUCUGCGCAUCGCUUGAAAACCGGCGGUCAUCCUGCAGUGUACGCUGCCAGCGUGCUUUCUUGCCAGAGCCGCCUCCCCUGCUGGUGAUGACCAUAUGCAGCCAAUGCUGAUGUGAACCCGAGUGAUGAACAAAUGCAGAUCUGCAAAGGAGCUGUCCUGAGGCGCCAUGCUUACUCAAAUCAUGCAGCGAGAGUCAGCAUGCCUGGAAAAGUACUUCAAAGCACACCCCAUCUGGCUGACUGCACUACCUCAAGAAAACUGCCUUUCUCCCAUCUGCAAGUUCCUAAGAAGUUACUUUAUGAAGCAAGCCAGCAGGGCGUACGUGUGAGGCAUGGCAGCACGGAGAACAAAUAAACAUGAGUAUUUGGUGCAAGAUGCAUUCAUUGAUUUCGUGCUGCAUCAACGUGUGGCUGCAUGCUUGGCCACGUGUAGACACAGCAUGUAAACUCGUUAACCUCAAUGGUAAAAGGUGGUCUAUAAUCACGUUAAGAAGCACGAUGUCUUAUUUUUGUAAAUAAUUGCAUAGCUCGACUUUGACUCAGGCGUCCAACACCCAUCAUUAUCUACCCAUUAUCUG